rnacentral:rRNA from 1 species
CAUGGGGGCUGCUCCACAUGCAGUCGAACGGAAGGCCGGAUGGGGACUUAGAGCGGCGAACGCGUGCGUAACACGCGUGCAACCUACCUUUAUCUGUGGGAUAGCCUUUCGAAAGGAAGAUUAAUACCCCAUAAGAUAACUAUUUGCAUCAGUUAUGAUUGAAAGCUUUUUGCGGUUAGGGGAGGGGCCCGCAGGCGAACCAGCUGGUUGGUGAGGUAAUGGCUCACCAAGGCGGUGAUCUUUAGCGGGCCUGAGAGGGAGAUCGGGCCACAUUGGGACUGAGACACGGCCCAGACUCCUACGGGAGGCAGCAGUGGGGGAUUAUUGGACAAUGGGUGAGAGCCUGAUCCAGCCCUCCCGCGGGAGGAAUGACGGCCUUCUGGAUGAAAACUUCUUUUAGCACCCGGAAGGCGGGCACUCGAACGGUUGGCGGAAGUGGCUGUACGAAGAAGGGCCGGCUCACUCCAACCCAGCGGCAUCGGCCUAGGGAGGGAGGGUUUUUCAUCUUUAUUUAUCGUUUUUGGAGCUUAAGUGGUCGGAAUCGUUCCCCCAGGGGCGCCUCCGAUUGCCCGAGAUUUCCCGGGCCAUUACGGGCGGGUUGGUGAAAAAAGGUGAAUCGGAGUUCUAAGGAAUGCAGCGAAAUCCUAAGAAUACGUAAAGCGAAUAAAACUGUGGCCCGUAUCACCGAAACCCGUUAAGCGAGCUUUAGGGGGCGCAUCACCCAUGGGCCCUUUCGUAAUAACGGGAACCUGCCUCUAGUUAACGCGUGGGGAAAGUUUGGGGCUU